AAUAUAGUAUACCCAAUUAAAAUCCCAACUUCAGGUAAACAAUACAUUUUUUAGUACAAGUAUGUCCCCAUGCAUUAUUUGGAACAUACUUAUACUAAAAAAUAUUGUUUAUCUCAAAUUCAAAUUUAACUGGGCAUCCAGUAUUUU
rnacentral:miRNA from 1 species